UCGAGUGCCAGGUUACAAAUCUGGCUGUCGUGAUGCCUAAAAAGCAUUGCAUAGCAAGGGCCGGGCAAGACCGGUGCCAGCCGCCGCGGUAACACCGGCGGCUCGAGUGGUAACCGUUAUUAUUGGGUCUAAAGGGUCUGUAGCCGGCCGGAUAAGUCUCUUGAGAAAUCUGGCAGCUUAACUGUUGGGCUUUCAGGAGAUACUGUCUGGCUCGAGGCCGGGAGAGGUGAGAGGUACUUCAGGGGUAGGGGUGAAAUCUUGUAAUCCUUGAAGGACCACCAGUGGCGAAGGCGUCUCACCAGAACGGACCUGACGGCAAGGGACGAAAGCUAGGGGCACGAACCGGAUUAGAUACCCGGGUAGUCCUAGCCGUAAACGAUACUCGCUAGGUGUCGGCCACGGUGCGACCGUUGUCGGUGCCGUAGGGAAGCCGUGAAGCGAGCCACCUGGGAAGUACGGCCGCAAGGCUGAAACUUAAAGGAAUUGGCGGGGGAGCACCACAACGGGUGGAGCUUGCGGUU
rnacentral:rRNA from 1 species